GUAGGUGAACCUGCGGAAGGAUCAUUAAAAAUCCAAAACAACCCGUUGAAACGUUUGCUUUUCCUUGGAAAAGGGACCCGUCUUUCUUGAGAAAUCUAAAUUUUCCGAGAGAAGGACGGAGGAACGAGAAGUACAUUAACCUGCUCUUUGUGGUGAUGAUGACUGCUCUGGAGGUCGCACUUUGGUGAUGGUCUCUUGUGCAUUCGCAUCCUGACACUCAAAGACCCCUAAUAUCUUAUCUGGGAGCAUC
rnacentral:misc_RNA from 1 species